CUUCGGCCCUCCCCACCUCUUCCAUCCGGAACGGUUACGUACGAUGAGGCUUUUACUAUGGCUAAUGACCCCCUGGAAGGCUUCCAUGAAGUAAACCUAGCUUCACCGACAUCUCCGGAUCUCCUCGGAGUGUAUGAGUCAGGGACUCAGGAACCGACUACCUCACCAAGCGUCAUCUAUCGUCCACAUCCUUCAGCGGUGUGCUCCACGCCUAUUCAGGCGAAUGCGUUAAAUGUUUCGGACCUUCCCACCCAACCCGUUUAUUCCUCUCCCAGACACUUGAAUUCAGCGGAACCAUCCAGUGUCAGCAUCAGCGUUGCAGACGCUGUGCCUUGUUCUACCUCCGGAACCCCAUUCAAACCCUCGAAUACCAGGAAGGACAACAAUAAUGCAGAGAGGGAAUUCUUACAGGGGGCCACGGUGACGGAGAGUUCCGACAGCAGUGAUGAUAUCUUUGGGUUGAGUACCGAAAGCCUCUCUCGAUUACGGAGCCCAUCCGUUCUGGAAGUGAGAGAAAAGGGCUAUGAAAGGUUAAAAGAAGAACUCGCAAAAGCCCAGAGGGAGCUGAAAUUAAAAGAUGAAGAAUGUGAGAGGCUUUCUAAAGUGCGAGAUCAACUUGGACAGGAGUUGGAAGAACUCACAGCUAGUCUGUUUGAGGAAGCUCAUAAAAUGGUAAGAGAAGCCAACGUCAAGCAAGCAACUGCAGAAAAACAGCUAAAAGAAGCACAGGGGAAGAUCGACGUCCUCCAAGCCGAAGUCGCAGCUUUGAAGACCCUGGUUUUGUCGUCCUCUCCGACAUCACCAACUAAAGAGUUUCAGCCAGGUGGGAAGACAGCUUUUAAGAAGGGACACACGAGAAAUAAAAGUACAAGCAGUGCUAUGGGUGGUAGCCAUCAGGACCUCAGCGUGAUGCAGCCAAUCGUAAAAGAUUGCAGAGAGGCUGAUUUCUCUCUGUAUAAUGAAUUCAGAUCUUGGAAGGAUGAGCCAACCAUGGAUAGAACGUGCCCUUUCUUGGACAAAAUCUACCAGGAAGAUAUAGUUCCAUGUUUGACCUUCUCAAAAAGUGAGUUGGCGUCAGCUGUUCUCGAGGCUGUCGAAAACAACACCCUAAGCAUUGAACCAGUGGGCCUGCAACCUGUUCGGUUUGUGAAAGCUUCCGCAGUUGAAUGUGGAGGACCGAAGUUAACCAAGUGUUGGUCAAAAGUUAGCGGUGAAGAACAGAAAGCAAGGAAGCAGGAAGAAAUGUGCUCUCAGUGGUCAGAGUAAGUCUUGUAAACACAGAAUUAAAUUGGGAGACUCAAGCAACUACUAUUAUAUUUCUCCAUUUUGUAGAUUCAGGAUCACUUCGGUGUGCAACUUUUUUACGUACAUUCGCUAUAUCCAACAAGGUCUCUUGAAGCAGCAGGAUGUUGAUCAGAUGUUUUGGGAGGUCAUGCAGUUGAGAAAAGAGAUGUCGUUGGCAAAACUGGGAUAUUUCAAGGAAGAACUCUAAUUCUCUUCACUGGAAUAUGCAUGAACUUCACUGAAUAUACAUAGCUCUAAAAUGGCUGAAUUUUUUAUUGUCAAUAUUUAUUUUCAAAGAGUGGGUCCAAAAUCUUUUUCUCUUUCUGCAGAUUGCACCCGAAGUGCUGUGAUUACUUUAAACUGAUCUAUAUUCUCUGUGUGCCGAAAAACAGCAAGGAAAACAAUGGAAAGAAAAAAAACCCUUUAGUUGAACAAAAUCUGAUCAGGACUUGUAGGUGCCCUUGUGAUUGUAACUUACCUUUGCAAAAAAUCGAAAUAAAUCUUAGAUUGAAGAUA